GACGAACGCUGGCGGCGUGCCUAAUACAUGCAAGUAGAACGCACAGUUUAUACCGUAGCUUGCUACACCAUAGACUGUGAGUUGCGAACGGGUGAGUAACGCGUAGGUAACCUGCCUGGUAGCGGGGGAUAACUAUUGGAAACGAUAGCUAAUACCGCAUAAUAUUAAUUAUUGCAUGAUAAUUAAUUGAAAGGUGCAAUUGCACCACUACCAGAUGGACCUGCGUUGUAUUAGCUAGUAGGUGAGGUAACGGCUCACCUAGGCGACGAUACAUAGCCGACCUGAGAGGGUGAUCGGCCACACUGGGACUGAGACACGGCCCAGACUCCUACGGGAGGCAGCAGUAGGGAAUCUUCGGCAAUGGACGAAAGUCUGACCGAGCAACGCCGCGUGAGUGAAGAAGGUUGUCGGAUCGUAAAGCUCUGUUGUAAGAGAGGAACGGGUGUGAGAGUGGAAAGUUCACACUGUGACGGUAUCUUACCAGAAAGGGACGGCUAACUACGUG
rnacentral:rRNA from 1 species